GGGUCAAAGCCUCCCCCGGCACCAGCGGGGCGACCGGUGUGAGGCCGGUCUGGAGGUUCGAGUCCUCCCGCCCCGACCAU
rnacentral:tRNA from 1 species